GUGGAAUUUCGGCAAGUUGCUAUCAAACCCAAAUUGGGAAUCAUCGUAACUGGCGGACGCCUGAAUCCUGUCGUAGUAGAUCGAAACUCUCUUGUUGGGGUUACGGAUGCUGAGAUCGAUGUCUAGAGUGUAAUCAAGGGUGUUGUUGGUGAGAUCGAAUCGUUUGAGUUGCGAUGUGGCUUCCACGUAGGACUUGACCUCAGAGGGGCGAACCACAAGGUACAAGAUCAGAGUGAUGAUACCCAAGGUGAUGAUGAUGGAAAAGAGACAGGAAAAUAGCUUGCAACACAAACCCAUGUUGGUGAAUCGAUGGUGG
rnacentral:lncRNA from 1 species